rnacentral:lncRNA from 1 species
UGUUAUAAAUUUAUGUAUCUGAUUUCUAUGCUAGGUCUAGUAAUAUAUAUAUAUAUACAUAUAUAUAUACACUUAUCUAAAUCUUUUUGAACAAUUAUAUAAUAAGAAUUAUUUAAUACCUAUCUUUGUAAGCACAUUUAUAAACUUUUGACAUGAGAUUUGUAAGUUCCUAACCAGCAUUAAUAUUAUAUUAAGAAAUUUGUAAUAAAAGUGUCUAACAUCUCUUUUCAUAAAAUAUAUAACAGUUUAGAAAAAUAGUGUAUUUUAAGGCAUAUGUGGAGCAAACUGACAUAUUCUUUCAUCUACAAAAGUUGCAAGAAGUUCAUGAGAAACAAAAAGAUUGAGUUGUCAGUAUUCAUAGUGCUUCUCCCUGUUCAUUUAUUACUUUGUGCACCAGCAUAUUCUGGUAAAUGCUUAAUAACUGGUUCUCCCAAAAGAAAUGCCCCAAGUGUGGAAUCUAUUAACUUCUUUAGUGCAAAUACCCCCAUAAUGGUCAAUUCCAGGGCCGCGUAACACUGAGUAGCAGAGGCAUGCACUAAUCAGAUCUCAUUAGGUCCUAAGGACUGACUGGAGCAUUUGCUGCCUGUAAACAGGAGACAAAGGAUUGUUAGGGGCAUCAUAACUGUCUGAGAGUGUUGGGAGCAAUGCUACAUAAUACUAGGGAAAAAUCAUUUGAGUAGGCCUAGUUCUCCUGCCUACAGCCCAGCUAGGACAUUCCAGACAUAAUUGCAUUUUGGCCUCUGGUCACAACUGAGACCUCAGUGAUCCCCCCCCCCCCAUGCUGCAAUCUCCAGGACAAGACCACACCUGUGGGAGAUGCCAGGGAGGAACCAAAUCUUCAUCUGCAUAAUUCCUCAUUGUUCUUAGAUUUCCACUGCCCCCCAGCUUUUUGUUACACCUUGUUUAUCCCAAUGUGAAGUACUGAACUCUAUUUUUCACUUGUUACAUUUGUUUCCCCAUGUACUGAAUAAAAGGUGCUGGAAGCUAGACGGUUUUUGUCUUUGCCACCCAGAGCAGCACUGAUCAGACCCAAAGCUCAGCUUCUUCUCAGUCUCAUUUGUCUACCUUUCCUGUAAUUCGCUGUGUGCUGCCAUGGCUCACAGGUGACUAGGACUUACUGCAGAGGUUCUGGUAAUGUCCCCUUCCCCUGUUCCCUACAUGAGAGUGUUCAUAUUUUACAAAGAUGAGGGGAAAGUCAGAGGUUGGGGCUGGUGAGGCUUCUCAGUGAUUUUUCAUGGAGAUUUUGCUGGUUUCUGAGUGAUGAUGUGGGCUUUAAAAAUAUAUGGACCAUUUGAUUUUCAGAUACCUAGGCAAUCAAGGUGAUAUUUGUGUUAUCAUGCUUUUUGUGUGUCAGGUAGGAAAAAAAUUGUCAGUUGGGAAAUAAUGCUGUUUUUUUAUUCCUUAGCAUUUAGAGUUUAAAUAUAAUGACUUUAGUAAUAAUCCUACUAAUAACUAUAUGUGUCUUGGUAAGAUAUACUAUUUUUUCCACAGUAUUGACCAUUUAAUCAUUGAAGGUGUUAUGUGAAGAGAAUAUGAUGACUCUGAGAAUGUUGCUGGUACUGAAGUUUUGAUGGGAUCCAAAGAGUGUUAACGGUUCCCUAAUGAUGAAAGUGGACCAAGGUUAUUUGUUGGUAUCUUGAUAGAACAGACUGUGUCCUUAAAUGUAUUUAUCACAUGGAUCUACUUAGGUUCCAGUCAAGACAUCACUGUGUACAUACAUGUUUAUUAAUGGAGCUUUCCAGGUAUCCAGGCAAGUGAUAAGGAAGGAUAGAUAACACCCUUGACUAACACUGAGAAACCAUGAAAUUAGAACUGUGACACUGGAACUUGUGUUCUCAAGUCUUUUGCUCUCCCAUCAAGCUCUUUCCAAGUGCACAGAGAUGAGCUGCUGUUACAUUUCUCAUUAAAGAUGUUGUUUCCAGACAUCAAGGUAAUUAAUGAUACUGUUGAAAUUCUUCUACUGAAAUUGUUUUUGGUAUGUGUGCAGAUGAAAUAAUGGCCAGCUUAAGUGGGAAUGCUCAGCUUAACUGAGGGUGAUUCUGCAUGUGGGUGACCCACCUAAGGAUUGUUGCCAGAACUGCAUAAAAGGAGGAUAGGAGGGGAGGAAUGCUGGCUGCUGAUUUCCCAGGAGAAGCUUUGUUGGAACUGGAACUCAGUGGCUUUUCUUGCUGUUGCUCCCUCAGUGGGUGGGUGGGGGGGGGUGCUGGUCUUUGCCUUUGUCUUGAGCAUCACUCCCUGGUUCCAGUGCAGAUCCCUCAGUGUUCUGGCACAGAUUGUUCACCCUGCCGGCAUAGACUUUUGAGCUUCUACCACUGGCCCUUGGGCCUUUUGGUGCAGAUUCUUGAUAUGAACUUGCAUGAGACAUUGCUGAGGGCUGUAGGCCUCUGGCUGGACUCAUGUGGAAUAUUAUGUGGAAAGAUCUAUUGCACUUUUCUGGGUUUGACUUUUUGGGAGAAUAUUGUAAGACAGUCCUAUAAAUUUGUAUAUCCUGUGGUAAAUCUGUUUCCUUGGAAACACCGACUAGAACAGUAUGUUUAUAGGUAAAAAAUAAAUUUGUAACAGUAAACAUGGAUUUUUCUUUAUUUGCAGGUAUAGACAUGCAAUAAGAUGUGCACCAAACACUGGGAUUUUUAGAUUUCUGUCAAGACCUUAUAGUAACCCUUUCAACUGUUGGUCAGCACACCAUGUAGGUAGGUGGUUUCAUGUAGGUUCUGAUGUAGGCCCAAACCACAGCACAGCUUGGCAAUCUUACUGGUUUUACCUUCUCAAGUAUUCUUAAAGAUGUAUUUUCUAAAGCCUUUGCAGAUUUCUAUCAUGAGAUCACAGUUAAUCUAACAUCAGCCUUUAAUGGCAGACAUUGCUGUUAUGCAAACAAGUGCUGAUGUAGACCAAAACUAAAGCACAGACCACCUGAUCUUCAGAUCACAUGAGGCAAGUGGUUAUGGUUUCCCUACCACUUGCCAUCAUGAUUUCUUUGCCAGUAUUCAGGUGAGGAAUAAUAACAUCCUUAGGAACACUUGAAACCAUGCAGUUUCUUUUCUGUAUUUCAGAGAGAAUGUGUAACCCUGUAAGGAGGUUGCACAUAUCCAAGUAUUUAUCACAUAGUCCCAACUAUAGUAAUCAUAGGAACUAGGCAGAUAUUCCACGAAGAAAUGUUGUCUUAUCUGACAUUAUCCUUGACCUUGGAGAACCACAAGAAUCCAGGUAGAGUCCUGUGAUCAUGGAUGUAAUAGAAGCUAUUCAACAGUUCCUGGUAGGUUGUGUCUUGAUUCCUGUCAAGGGUUAACAGUGAACUUAAAAAGUUCAUUAUCAGGAGAUAUUUCUGUAUUAGAGUAAAUAUUUUCAUGUACAGCACAUGCCAGACCGACCAUUAGAUCAUCAAAUAUCUGGGUCAGUGAUGUUUGUUUCCCUACAAUUUUUAUCAUAUGAUUAAAAAAAUGUAAGUAUGUAGAUAAGGAAUGCAGUAUUUCAUAUUCUAGAAACCAUAUUAUUGCAUUAUCUUACAUUUAGAGAGAAUUUACCCUGGGAAUUUCAAAUGACUUUCAUGUACUCAGGUUAUUAUUAUGCAUUUAUGCAUCAUGGUAGUUAACAAGUUAAAUAUUAGCAGUCAUGAGAUAAUGAGGUUUGGAACAAUGAUGUUCAUCAUAAAAUAAUCAAGAAUACAAGUAGAGUUGAUGAGUCCAGGUAGAAAUGAAAUCUUGCAAUAAUGACAAUAAAGAAAGUUAUUUGAAGGGUCCCAGUAGAAAAGUCUUACCAUACAUAUACUUGUCACCCAUGUUUUUACAUUUCCAUGCAGAUACGGUGGUAAGUCUCAUGAUGACCAACAGUGGCAGUUUGUUGUAUCCAUGGCCAUGAUGAUCAAGAGGGAUAUUGUAAGUGUGGGGUUCUUACAUUUAUUUUAGCAUGUUUCCUGUACAUAUUUAGUAAAGGAAUGAUUCUGUUUACCACUGCUAGUAACAAGUAGCUUAUUAUAUAAAGUUUUGAUAAACUCUGAAUUUAAUCCUAGGAGGUGUGGAGGCAUAUGCAGGGAUCCAUGUAAGUUAUUCAACUGAUCCACAUCACAGUAUUGACCAUAAUUUUUUCUACAGGUAGCCAGCCAAGAGAAAAUGGUGUGAAGAACAACAUCUCUGACCUUGAAGUUCUAAAGAUCUAAGUACUUCAGUUGGUUUCCCUGAUGAUGGAGGUGACCAAAAUUUUAAAGUUGUCCUUUUUUUCUCCCCUCAGGUGAAAGAUGAUGCGUCCUAAACACACAUCUCAAAGUGUUGUCUAAGAUUCCAACAGUUAUUAAAUUAUAGUGAUUGAACUUAAGAAUGGUAAUUUAUGAAAUGUUAUGACUAACCUGGUAAGUAAGAAAUUGUCCCUACCAAGAUGCCAACAAAUAACCUUCAGAUUUCUUGGUAAAGUGGAUGGGAUAUCUAACACAAUGUUACCCUGGCUUUUUGGCAGGUAUUCCAUUAAGUUUUAUCCUAGUGUACAGGUUUGUUGACUUUAAAUCAUUAGAGGCAUUUCUUAUUUUUUGGUAUUUAUAUCAUGAAUGAUGCUUUUGAACUCCUGUGGUAACCUCUGCUUAGAACACAGUUCAAAAUAUGAUUUGUCAGUAAUGCUUUUUGUAAAUAUGAGAUUGUACUAUGGACUUAUUUAGAGAUUGUGAUAGGUUAUUGUAUAGGGAUGCAGGUCAUUGACCAUAUUUCCUAUCCCCUAGUAUUGACCAUGGGAAUUUUGCUAGUGUUUCUUCCAAACAAGAUGGUAUUUCUUAGUAGGCUUUUACCUCAGUGUUCAGCUUUAGCCAUGUAAUUGUGAUAAGAAUAUGAUUUGUCAUGUUGAACGCCAUGACCAAGGGAAUGUGUCAAUGUCUUCCUUGAAUGACAUAGGUUCCAAAAUCAUUUUUCAUGAUUUGAUUUUCAAGUUCCUCUGAAGACACUGUGAUUAUCCUACCCAUGGGAGUGAGUAAAGUCCAUAGAGGGUUAUGAGGUAAGUGCUGAGGUACCCUAAACCAGAUCUUCAUCUAUAGAGGAAAGGGAUGAGGGUGUCCUGACUAUUACUAGAUUUAGUGGUCACUGCUCCUAUAAGAAAUAAUUUUGUCCUUCACAGUUCUAGUAAAUAUGAGUUUAUCCUUUAUAUGCCAUAGGGAAAAUUGGUGUUUUAGCAAGGACUGCUGAGGGAGUGAUUAUGAACUGGUUAAUUGAAAUUAUUGUGGAACUCUAGGACUGCAGUAAGCAUAGGUUAAUUUCCAGGGUGUGGAGAUGACAAAAUAUGGGCUCUCUGACAAUACUGUUUUUGUUUGGUGAAUCCAAGUAUCCUGAGGAGUUUAGCUGUCCUUUAGCAAUGGACAUUAAAAAGGGAGUGGGCUCAUGUUCUGACACAGCACCUUCUAUGCCAAACUGGCUUUGUAUUUUUUUCAGAUGCCCUUCAAGAGAACACAGUGAUCCAGAAAAGAUGGUUGUUGCAGUCACCCUAGUAACAAGGUAAAUGAUAAAAUGGUCAUAGUCCAGUGAAGGCUGUUUGAUCUUCUAUAAUCCUGGCAAGUUCCUAACUAGGUGCUCAGAUGUUAAGGUCUUGGCUAGUGUAUUGGUCUGGGAUGAUAUAGUCACUCACUAGUGACAUCUCAUUUUCAGCAAUUCAUUUUAUGACUGUGUUAGGUUUUAUUAUAUUCCCCCACUUCUGGUGAUACAUGUUUUCAAAACAUAUUAUCACCUUAAUAUUACAAGGAUACAUCAAAUGUCAUUGCAUCUUUUCUGGAAUGUAAUAGAUGUAAUAUGCUUGUAUUGCUACUGGUGGAGAAGAGAUUUAUGUAAUUUUCACUGAGUCCAUCUCUGAAAUAUUGUCCUUGGAAGGUUUGCAUGUAUCACUGAAGACAGACAACACUCUCUUACAAGGCUUUAUCCAUGGAAGCCUGCAAGUAUCUAGAUAACGUAAGUGGAUGCUGAAAUGAUGAAGUGACAUAGGGAAUUUGGAGUUGUAUAAGUGCAAAUGAGACAUAUACCAAAUCAGAAGUCUAUGACAAGAGUCCAUAGAUGGGUGAAUACAUCACAGCAAGCAAAAUAAGUUUGUAAAGUAGAACACUACUGAUCUCUCUAUAAGUGCUAAUGUGGGCAUUCACCACAUCACAGGAAAUCAGAUCUUCAUAUACAGGGAUGAGUGAUGAGGAUGUCCUUGACACUUGUUACUGAGGUUUUGUUACAAGUACUAAUGGAUGAAAUGAGAGACAUGAUGAAAAUAUCUAGUGAAUGCAAUACUGCAUUUUGUAUGAGACAGAAAUGAAUAUUGAACCUGUACAAUUUCAGGGAUCCAUCGCAUCAUGGUUGGAUGUAGACAUGGUGGUGUUACAACACAACAGUAAACAUUGAAAAAUUUACAGAUGGCUCUAUUACACAUUUGGACAUGCCAGAGAAUACAAUUUACAUAGAAUUAAGGACUCUAUUAACACAUAGCUGAAGGAUGCCUUUCUGUUUCUGGGUGAGGGGCAGAAAGAGUCAGUGACAUGGAAGAGCAAGAUGAGAGCUAAAUGACAGUUUUCUGUAGGUGCUUUCAAGUUAAUGGAAGUGAUCAAUUGAAUGAGUGUGUUGAAAAAACCUUGAACAAACCAAGGAAAAACAAAAGUAUAAAUUACAGCCCAUUGGCACCCAUCCAAUCUUCAAUAUCCAGGUGGCUAGCAUAAGGGUAAUAGCCCAAUGAGAUGUUGUCAUGUACUGGAUUCUUAUGCUGGGAAGGUCACUGUGACUGUCGAGUUCUGAGCUGACCCCACAUUCACACAUCAGAGACCUUAUUUUCAGAUGUGAUUUUCAUUGUUGAUAGUGAAACUCUGAGGUAGUCUCCUUUAUUUGGCAAGUGUGAGGUUAAGGGGCUCAUUCCUAUCAGGGUGUAGAAUCAGGUGCUACUGAAUCCAGGCCGAAAGUGUGCCUUUAAACUGGCCAUUGUAAAGGGGAACAAAAGAGGGUGGAGGGGGGGGAGAGGAAAGAAGAAAGAAAGAAAAGAAAAUAGAAGAAAAAAUGGAAACAAAGCUUUUGUAAAUAAAGGAGAAGGAGAGAGGUAGAGGGAGGGGAGGAGAAUGGGAAAAAAAAGAAGAAAGAUACAUCAUGAACAGGUACAAAUUCCCUGUGAUGAAUGCUAUCAUUAUGUUUACCUGAAAUGUACUAAUAAAUUUUUUGCUUCAAAAAAAAAAAACAACAACAACAACAACAAACUAGGCAUUGUAGAGAAAAAGCAAGGAUUCAGAUAAUUAUCCUAGAGUAGUUCCCUGAGAUACAGAUUGUAACAGUUUGUCCGGUGUCUGCUCAGGAGUGUCCAUUUUCUCUUCUCUGGCUUUCAGUGUGCAUAAAUGAGGGUCCUUGUAGUGGUGAUGGACCCCUGAGUAAUCCCAUGAUGUGCAGAUUGUGCAGAUGGAGAAAAAGAAGGGCAUAGGAUAAAGUACAGGAUGGGUUCUUUCGGGUGUGUUUUCUAGUGAUGGGUCCAGACCUCACAGCCAGGAAAGGCCAGACCCUGGAACCUCACCAGGAUCCAGAUAGCAGCAAGUAUGGCCUCCAUCACAGCACAGGAAAUGGAUCUUCCUAGGCUUCAGUGGAGCAUGUUGGGGCCCUGAGUGUAGCCGAUACCAUAUUUUGUGUGAAUAAAUUCAAGUAUAAAAGACUAACAAAUCAGAAAUCUAGUCUGUGUGAGUUUUCUUUUUGUAUAGGGUAGGAAAAGUACUGUUCAAGGUCCCUGUGUCCUGGGAUUGCUUGCUUACUAUAUGCAGUGACAUGCUUGAGUACCAGACUGCUGAGAAAGAAGCACAGGUAACUUGCAGGCACCCACUUGAUGAGGAUCAGAGCCUUGGGAUGAUAUUCUUCCCUCAGUUUCAAUCUGGUAUGCGGUGGAGUGGAAGCCUCCCACACCAGUGGUGGUUGUCAAUGAAUCGAGCACGUUGUAUGCUUGCAGAACAUGCUGUAUCCUUUUAGCAUGGUCUUGUUCCUUUUCCCUUCAUGGAUACAGAGUGAUCAAGAAGUUGGUUGAUGUACACUUAUGGAAGGCCAGGGAAAUACCACCAUGGGUACAAGCUGAUCACUAGGCCAGAUGUCUGUAUCCAGGUCAGAAGGAGCCUCUGCCUAACCUGGUAUUAACAUGUUUCAUCACCAGGUAUCCUGCCAAAAGGUCUUGGGAGAUGCUGCUACCCUCAGCCAUGCAACACCUUCUUCUUUACUGAUGUACAUUGUGGGAGGGCACUUGGGCACACUUUGCUUUUCCCCACUGAUUCACCUGUGUGCCAGUGAAGGUGAAAUCUUCCCAGUGGCUGCUGGGACAGUCAUGUCACAGUGAGCAGCACAGUAUAAUCAGGUGGAUGCAUACAGACAUCCAGGUUCCUUCAAGGGAAGAUGAGCAGACUAUGGCUGGAACUGCAUGCAGGUGUCAGUGAAGUAAAAUGAAUGUUGAUCUUCUCUACAUCCUUGGAGUGCUUAUUCUUUGGUCCAGUGGUGUUGUGAUGGACCACCCUGCCCAGGAGAAAGCACAGAAUUCUUUGCAGGUCAGUAGUUGAUGAUAAUGAGUCUCAGGAUGAGAGUUUUGCACUCAAAUUGCUUCUGGUAUCAGAGUGAAGAGAAAGCCUUUGUGCCAGUGGUGAUGCCAGAGCACAGCCCAGUGUUCUUGCAGAGCAAAGGAUAAGGUUUUAGCAGGGUGUGGUUUGCCUUCCUUUCAGAUAUCUGCAGUGAUGAAAAAAUGUUUGUUGUGGUGAGAUUGCUGAUGAUAGAUGAGACCUCUGUGCAUGUAGCCUGGCUACAGGGCAUGAUAUUCCUU